AUGAACGCUGGCGGCGUGCCUAAUACAUGCAAGUCGAGCGAACAGACGAGGAGCUUGCUCCUCUGACGUUAGCGGCGGACGGGUGAGUAACACGUGGAUAACCUACCUAUAAGACUGGGAUAACUUCGGGAAACCGGAGCUAAUACCGGAUAAUAUAUUGAACCGCAUGGUUCAAUAGUGAAAGACGGUUUUGCUGUCACUUAUAGAUGGAUCCGCGCCGCAUUAGCUAGUUGGUAAGGUAACGGCUUACCAAGGCAACGAUGCGUAGCCGACCUGAGAGGGUGAUCGGCUACACUGGAACUGAGACACGGUCCAGACUCCUACGGGAGGCAGCAGUAGGGAAUCUUCCGCAAAGGGCGAAAGCCUGACGGAGCAACGCCGCGUGAGUGAUGAAGGUCUUCGGAUCGUAAAACUCUGUUAUUAGGGAAGAACAAAUGUGUAAGUAACUAUGCACGUCUUGACGGUACCUAAUCAGAAAGCCACGGCUAACUACGUG
rnacentral:rRNA from 1 species